AGGCUUACUUUUCUUCCUCUGGCUGCUUCCUGUUCGCCAGCAGAAUCGCAUCCUCUCCAGGUCCUGGGAGAAGCUUCAGCCAUUCUCUCCCAACGAGAUGGACUUGGCUAUUUGCUUCCUGCGUGCCUGCUGCCCCCAAUGCUCAGCGCCCCCCUUCUGUUUUGGGGGCUGGCUUGGAUUUUUUUCCGAAGGAAGGGAGAGAACCAGAAAGCCCAACUUGGUUCGCUGGGUGGAUUUGACCGCUUCUUCAAUAGAUGGCUAUUGGCGCUUUAACAUUAUAACUCAUCAGAGCCUCAUGCACUCAGAAAAUAAAAACACGAGGGAUUUCGGGGGAGGGUGGGUGUGAAAUCCAGAAACUUAGGCACGACUGAGCAACUCCCCCAAAUCCAUCUGACUUGCGGGAAGCAGGAAGAUUAAAGAACUACGGAUGGGAAUAAGAAGUCAAUAGUCUCAUAUGACGACACACACAAAAAAAGAGGCAGCAAACUCGGAAAGGACAAAUUUCACUAGGAGGAGAAACCUUUUUCUUUUUCUGCUGCCUCCUGGGAGGGGGAAAGGGUCAGUCAGGGUUUCUUCAUGACCUGGGAUCCGACGCUUAACCUCGGCGUUUUCUUCCAGAACAGUCAGGGAACAGAUGUUUUCAUGGCUUCCCUCACAGGGCCUGGAGUACGGUGUGCAUCUUCAUGAGCGCAUGGAAUGAUGGAAUUAUCUUGUAUAUCAUCAUCCAACACAUCUGAGGUGUCUUUAAGUCCCUGAGGACUCAUUAGGUGAAUGAACUUAUGAUUCCGUCGAUAUGAGCGCCCAUUGACUUCAACAAUAUAAGUCCGGGGAUUUAUUUGUCCCAUGCAUGUUCCUUUCGUCCAAGGAUUUGUCUUGUCUUGAGGAAAUAUUUGGACACGUACAGAAUCUCCAGUGUGCAGAGGUGGUAGCUCUUUUGAAUCCCUGUCAUAAUAGCUUUUAGUUUCAUUGUGUUUGUGUUGCAGCUGAUCUGUGACUUUCAUUGCAAUUUUGGGUUUCAAUAAUGCAAGAGCUGUAGGUAGAAAGGAUCGUGUGCGUCUGGACAUAAGUCUUUGCACUGGACUGCUGUUCAUGCCAGCAGUUGGAGUAUUUCUCCACUCCAGGAUAGCUUGCCAUAUGUUUUCUUUAUUUCUUGCUGUUUUCUUUAAUAGAGUUUUUGCAAUUUUUAUGGCUGAUUCAGUUUUGCCAUUAGACUGACUGUUGUAGGGAGAUAACAUUAUGUGGUGAAAUUCCCAGUCUUUUGAAAAUGUGGCAAAUUCUUUGGAAGUGAACUGUGUUCCACCAUGUGAAAUCACACAGUCAGGUAUGCCAAGUCUGCUGAAGUGGUUCAUGAUUCUUUCUAUUACAGUUGCUGAUGUUGUAUCUGGAAGUUUAUCCAUUUCCCAGAAGUCUGAAUAGUAGUCUACCAGAAUGAGAGAAUUGCUGCAAUUUUUUGUGAAAAGGUCCAUCCCUACCUUACUCCAUGGUCUGUUAGGAAUGCCGUGUAUCACCAAUGGUUCUUUUUGCUGACUGGCUUGGAACUCAGCACAAACAUCACAGUUGCAUACAAGGUCUCUGAUGUCAUGAGCAAUGUUUGGCCAGUAUACCACAUCUCUAGCUUUCCGUAAACAUGCUUCUAUCCCAGAAUGACUACGAUGUAUUCUUGAUAAUAUGUCUUUUCUCAUGUCCUUUGGAAUGAGUAUUCGGUGUCCUUUGAAUAUGAUGCCAUCUUGGACACUUAAUUCAUCACAAUAGUUCCAGUAUUCUUGAAUAGACACUGGAGCUUUGUCCCGGGUGUCUGGCCAGCCUGCUAAGACAACCGAGAUCAAUACUUGCAACUCUUUGUCCUAUAAAGUAUGUUCCUGGACUCUUUGAAGUCCUUGAUGUGAGAUGGGCAUAUAAGCAGCUUGAUUAAUGCUUUCUAGUUCCUUUUGUCUGGCUUGCGCGUCAAGGGAAUUAAGUAUCUCAUAGUCUUGCAUGUCAGUGUGCCUGUCAUGUGGCAAGGGUGCUCUGGAUAGGAGAUCCGCAAUGUACAUCUGAGCUCCUUUUUUAUAUUGUACCUUCAAGGGAUAGCAUUGUAGCCUAAGAAGCAUGCGUUGGAGUCGCUUUGGAGAUGAUAGCAAUCCCUUCUUAAAAAUAACUUCUAGAGGCUUAUGAUCGCUGUCAACCUUAAUGCAUUUCUGACCUCGUAUAUAUUGGUCAAUUUUUUCACAAGCAAAUACUAUUGCUAAGCAUUCUUUUUCAUGAGCGCAUGGAAUGAUGGAAUUAUCUUGUAUAAUGCCAUUCAGUCUGUGAUAAAGACCUUGAUGCAAAAACAACAGGCUGUCCUUUUUGCAAAAGUACAGCACCCAGGCCGGUUUCACUGGCGUCACAUUGGAUGCUGACAUCUUCAUUUAUGUCAUAAUACUUCAACACGGGAUGUCUAGUAACCAAGUCUUUGAUCUGCUGGAGGGCUGUAUCAUGUUGAGGUAGCCACACCCAAGUUGCACCCGUGUCCAAUAGCUGUCUGAGAGGCUCACAAACAUCAGAAAGGCAAGGAAGAAAUUUAAUCAGAUAAUUAACAAAUCCCAGUAACUGCUGAAGAGAUUUGGUAUUGGAUGGUUUAGGCAUCUGCUGGAUAGCUCUCACCUUUUCUGGAUCUGGUUAUAAGCCUUGCAAUGUUAGGAGGUGUCCCACAUAGGAGGUGCCAUCUCUGCUAUCUUUUUGGGUCCUUUUGAAGACUUUCCUAUACCUUUUACUUCAUCAUUAAAUUUCUCAAUAUCUAAAAUGACUGUGCCCUAGAACAGUUGGUCAUGGAAGCAACCAGAGAUGCUGUUGCCUUAACUUAAUCUUAUGUGGUGCCCAGGUUCUAGAAGAAGAUGUAAGCGCUAUUGAACCAAUUGGAAACAGUGACCAAAGUGCUAUCAUAUUCAACAUAUAGGUAAGGGGGCAAUUGCCAAGGAAAUUCAACUUCAAACUUCCCAGAAAUGAGGGAUUUGCAAAAAGAAGAAGAAGAAGACGAAGAAGAAGUGAAAUCUCUGCAGAAUGCUUGGUAACGUGUUGCGUGUUGUGUAUAAGGACUACCUGUUUCCUGCUUUUGUAAGGUCAUCAGAUACAGAGGCUAGGAUUCCUUGUAGAAGUGGUACAUAAACCGUUUAUUACCAAGGCUGGCAGUCUCUCACCAGUCCUUGUUCCAAAGCCACACACCCUUCUCCUCCACCAUGUGAAGGAGCAAUGAGGUCAGAGAGUUUUCUCCCAUGGAUAAAAAGAAAGCUUUUUCUACCUCCUCCUCCUCCUCUCUGUAUUGUCACAGUCCCUGUCUCACGCUCAAGAACAAACAUUGACACAAACACAGACAUUUUCUUUCUUGCCUUGAUGUACCCAGAGGCGCUUAGUUUCACUGUGCCCAUAGGCUUUUGUGAAGCAGCAGAAAUAUCUGCUGCAGUGUGACAUGCAUACUGAUUAACGUGCCCCAUUUCACUGUAUCCCCCAGACAGGCAUCGUUCAUUCUGUGUAAUGAUGAUUGAGAUCCUUAAUGAAGAAAGUCAGAGAAGAGCAAGGCUUUCAUUACAUUUACUUGGAAGUAAGUCCUAUUUAAUUUAGUGGGGCAUACUUAUGAAUAAACGUGGAUAGGAUGAGGUUGCAUGUGAAAUAAUAGGAACCAUACAUAAAGCCAUAUACCCAGCUUCUUUCCCCUGUACUUGCAGAUUUGUUGUUAUGUGCCUUCAAGUCGAUUUCAACUUAUGGCGACCAUAUAAAGAAGGAGGUGGUAAAAUCCUGAGGUGGUAGAAUGGAUUGUACCAUUUCAGCUUGCAGACAGGAGAUGAACACUUCCGCACAUAAAAUAUUCCACUUUUAAAUUAAAGAAAACAAAACCACAGGUACAUCAGGAAGGAGAUUUCUUGAUAUUAAUUUCAUACUUGCAGACUUUUUUUUUAAAAAAGCAGUGAAUGUAACAGGCCAUGGAGGAGGAAUUUGGGGUGAGCAGGCAUUUUAAAAAAACCAGACCCUCCACCUGCCAUCUGAAGUGGCACAGGCCAUUCUUUUGCCUCAGUAUUCUGCCACUAGCUUCUAUAGAGGAGGAGCCUAAGAUUUUUUCAUAGAUGGAAAAAAAUGUUGAGACUAUUUGUUGUUUAAUACAUCUCAGUUUAUCUCUGGUAUUUGACUUACUCUUCUCUGAUCAGUAUUGGUCUGGUGUUUUCUAUUGAUGGUGGUACCUUAAUAAAGAAGCAGACAGUACUCGGACUAGUCA